UUAUCGGUGAAAGUCCGAUACGGGUAAUUGCCAAGAAGCCCGUUAGCUAAUUCCGAUGCGUCGCAGUAAUGUGGAGUGCUAAGCGGAAGGAUAAAGUACUCGCUUAAAUAGCGAAGCGAUCGAAAGUGCAGGUCGUAACAUAA
rnacentral:ncRNA from 1 species